rnacentral:rRNA from 1 species
UGACCUCAGAUUAAGCGAGAUUACCCGCUGAAUUUA